UCCCUGUAAUGCUUGAGUGAGGGGAUUCUUUCACCAGUUCCUGCUUCUGAGCGUCACUUGCAGCUCCAUUGCCUAUCAAGCUUUUGAUUGGACUCAUGACCACAGCUUUAUGGCAAGGAAUUCCCCUGCCAGGCACUGGUCACAACUGGACGCUGAUGAAUGCCACAGGCCACAUCCCGUGCCAGCAGGAGCAUGCUGAGAUUUGUGCUCUGUACUUCGGGCGACUGCUCUUAAUGGGAGAGAAGUGUCCUGAUCUCUCGGAUGUCACCACGUCACAACAGGCAACAAAGUCUUCCUUAGAUGGAUUUCUGUAUAAGACAUACUUGCUUCUUUUAGUAUCCCAAAUGUAAAUUUGAAUUUUAACAAUCUGCUGCACGUGUUACUGCAGUUUUCGGCAGCCUCAGCAACAGCCGUGCCGUGACAACUUCUUUCCCUGCACUGACUGACAACGCACCUCCCAGCAUGCCAGCUUCUCUGGGAGCACGUGUACUGCUCAUUAGGGUUAAGUCACA